rnacentral:misc_RNA from 1 species
CCGGCGUGACGCUCGGAUCUCGUUGUUAUCGCGUUCGCUGCCGCGUCGUUUCGCCGAGUUUUGAGCGGCCCUUCCGAGGACCGUGCGAAUCUUAGGUUAGGUUGGGGGUCGCGUGGUCGCCAGGUCGGUCCAGGCUUGGCCGGCAGGUGGCGGGUGGACCGGCGCGCCGAAAAACAGGACCGCGAACAGUCGUGAACGGGAACGAGACCAGGCCUGCCGCCAUUGGCGGAGCCCAGAGGCCGGAACAAUGCUGACUACUCUGAUGGCCAUCGUCGCGGUGAUCCUGUGCAUUCUCUUCCGUAUACUAAACGUGAACAGCGCCCCGCAGAAGCCCCAGCUUUACUGCCAGGAUCAGGCCUUCCUUGCGAGCAUCCUCAAGAUCUCCCCGGUGCUCGCCGAGCCAUACAAGCCGACGAGAUUAUGGGGUUUCAGCGGACAUGUACAGACGGUGGUGCACAGUGUCAUCGGAAGAGUGAAAUGCCCCUGGCCAACGGGAGAGCGAGUUUAUGUUGCUUUACCGGACGAGACGACCCUGACCUACGAUCUGUACCAACCCCUUUCUUCCUUCGAGGACGAUGUCACGAUAGCCAUCUGUCCCGGAAUCGGCAACAGCUCCGAGAGUGUCUACGUUAAGACUUUCGUCCACUUCGUCCAGUAUCACGGUUAUCGGUGUGCAGUACUUAAUCAUAUCGGGGUUCUCGCCAAUGUCAAGCUUACUUCCCCGAGGAUAUUCACUUACGGCCACACGGACGAUUAUCACGCGAUGCUGCUGAACCUGUUGGAGAAACACCCGAAUACGAGGGUUGUUUGCAUCGGGUUCAGUUUAGGUGGGAACAUCGUGACCAAGUACAUCGGAGAACGAGGGACGAACAAGCUGCCCAACAUCAUCGGUGGCAUUUCCAUUUGUCAAGGCUACAAUGCCAUAGAGGGCACAAAGUUUCUGCUCAACUGGCAGAACUUCAGGCGCUUCUACUUCUACGUGAUGACCGAAUCGAUGAGGAACAUCAUCCUGAAGCACAAGCACGUCCUUCUCUCGGAGGAAGUGAAACGACGACAUGGCCUCAACGAACGGGAAAUCAUUUCCGCGGCGACCUUACCCGAGCUCGACGAAGCUUACACAAGAAAGGUGCACAACUUCCGGUCGGUGAAUGACAUGUACAAAUGGAGCAGUUGCAUUUCAUAUUUGGACGGCGUUAAUACUCCCAUGGUGUUCAUCAAUGCGUUGGAUGACCCGCUCGUUCCGGAACCGCUAUUGGAGCCUAUCAAGGACUUCGCAAAGAAUCGUUCGAACGCGCUGUAUGUGGAAUUGGCACAUGGUGGUCAUUUGGGCUUUUACGAGGGUGGCUUGGUGUACCCGAACCCCAUUACAUGGUUGGACCGCACCCUGGUAUCCCUGGUGGGGUCUAUCACCAUGGUGCAGGCAGACAAAGCUCUGAAGGUUUCUUAAGUUCCCCUGGAGUUUGCCGAACACUCGCACGAGGUUGCUUCUGGCUACCGACAGGAAGGGAGUCCUCUCAGUCGACGGAGACCCCCGAAAUUCGCGGAUUUCCGAAGUCUGGACUUCGGAGUAAACCCUGCCAAGUCUACGUCGACUGCACAGAAAUUUGCGGGAAGUGUACAUUUGUAACAAUACUUAUAAAACUGUAUAAAAAAAAGAAAAAGACUUGGAAAUUGCGACAAGUACGCGAUAACGUGCUAUGUACAUAUUAAAUUGCGGCAUAUAUUCCUCGUCGAAAUAAUCGCGACACCUGGAAUUAUAAUCAGAGACGAUGAUAUAUUAUUUAGGAUAAUGUAAAGAGAUAGUGAUUUGAUUUUGGUUUGAAAAAGAAAAAAUACUUGCAAUUACCGAGGUGUGGUCAUGGUCUCCUUUCAUUGUGUUAAACAAUAUACGUCGUUAUCAAAGAUGUUCAGCUUUGACUUUUGGGUGUUUCCAGUUUUUGGCGAACAGUCUAUAAUCGAGGACAUUUCUUUUGUUUUUCUCGUACUUUCUGUUAAGCAAAUCAUUCUUGCAUUUCAUUUAUUUUUAAAUAUGCUCUUGGUAAUGUUGUAUACAGCAUUGGAAGUUUUAUUUUUGUUUUUUGCAUUUACGGUUAUCCGAAGUUUAGGCUUCGGAGCAAACUCUGCCAGGUUCACGUCGACUGUGCGCAGAUAGGCGACGAUUAUUAAUUCGUAGUAUUUGUUAAACCGCUUAAACACGAGGUUUGUUCGCUUUGUCUACAUUUUCUACCCUCGAGGGUAACGAGGGUAUUACACUUUUCUUGAAAAGUGCAGAAGGGUAGAUACACUUUCAUUGGCAUCCCGAACUUCGGAAAGCUCAAGAAAAUACAAGAUGGCCGCUUUAGCGGGACAGUCUGCGAUUUUGGAGCUAUUCUAAAAUUCACAAUUUAUUCCAUUCCAACCGCAGUUACGCGGUAAUACACAAUAAUUGUAAAUAAAUAAAUUACAAAUCAGUA